UGGUCUGUGCGCUACAUUCGUGGCGAGCUUACCUGGUCGGCCGUCGUGAUGCUUCACCUGCACUCCCUAGUCCGCCGCCAUGCGCUCCUUCCAUCGAUCCGACUCCGUCGUCUCUUCUUCUCCACCGGCGCUUCCGCCUCCUCCUCAGUCGCCACCACCGCUUCUACCGAUCCCCACUUCCUUGUUGAGUACCUCGUGAAUACAUGCGGCUUCUCCGCCGACGAUGCUUCCAAGGUCUCCAAGUCGCUCCCCCGUAUUCGGUCCGCCGAGAAGGCUGACGCCGUUCUUGGAUUUCUCAGAUCCCAGGGCCUUGAUGACUCUAAUCUCAGAAAGCUAAUAACUUGGAAACCAACAUUGCUCGGCUGCGAUGUGCAGACGAACCUCGCUCAUAAGUUCAAUUUUUUACGCGACAUGGGGUUCUCUGAGUCCGACGCCGUCAAUGUCGUUAUGCUGCACCCCAUCAUUCUUUCCCUCAACGUCCAGAACACGCUUCUCCCCAGAUUGAAGGUUUGGGAAAGUUUAUUUGGAUCGAGGGAGAUCCUCCUCAGGAAACUCCGGAGCUGUAAUAGGUUUAUGAGCACCAGCAUUGAGAAUGUGGUACGCCCUAACUUGAACUUCUUACGGGAUGAAUGUGGAAUUCCUGAAGACAGGGUUUCCCUUGUCCUUAAAAUGCACCCCGGCUUCAUAGUGCAGAAUCCUGAAUCCCUCCGGGCUUUGGUAGAUAGAGCUGAGGGGAUUGGAGUUUCCCGGAAAUCUAAGAUGUUCCUCAGGAUCCUUGAUGUGCUGCACGGGGUCAGCAAGGAGAAAUUUGAGGCCCAAGUAAAGCUCAUGCACAGCUUUGGUUGGUCGAACUCGGAUUUCAUUGCUGCAUUCAUGAAACGCCCAACCUUUUUAUGGCAUUCCACAGAGCUAUUGCAGAGGAAGAUGGAAUUUUUUAUCAAGGAUGUUGAAAUUAAACCUUCUGAGAUUGCUAACCACCCAAUCGUUUUAGCAUUUAGUUUGGAAAAGAGGUCAAUUCCUCGGUUUCAAUUGAUGAAGAUAUUGAAAUCUGAAGGGUUAUGGACUUCGAAAAUCAAGAUACAAAACUUUUUCUCAUUGCCGAGUUCAAAAUUCUUGCAGAGCUUUGUCUUCCCUUACAAAGAUAAACUCCCCAAACUUCUUGAAGUCGUGUGAGCUGUAGCUGAGGUAGAGGUGAAUGAUCCAAACUGCAAAUGAAUAAGUAUGUGUUCCCUUGCAAAGAUAAAUUACCCAAAGGACAUGAAAUCUUGUGAGUUGUAGCUGAGUUUGAGAGGAAUAUCCAACAGUUGAAGGGUUUAUUUGGUUGCUUACACUUGGCGGCCAACACCUCACUUGUACACUGUCCUGAUACGAUAACAGAGAACUAACAAACCUUUCAACUUCGUGGUCAGGAGAGAGACGUGUGGUCAAGAGC